UUAAAAAAUCUAUUCACAAAUAAUUCAUUCUAGAAUGAUUAAGGGGAUUUUGUGUGAACAUUAGCUUCUAGGGGUAUUUAAAAAUUCACUAUAAUUGUUUUGUGUCACAUGUUGUCGUCGUCAAUGUGGUAGAGUUUGUGUCAUUCUAACCUUUUUGAUUUUCUCAUUUCUGAAUUUUCAUUUUUACUGCAGAUGUUUAUUCAUUCCAAAUAUCAGUUAUUGCUCAUCAUGUUUACAAUGAAUCAAUAACAGUAUUCUUCUGAAAAGCCAUAUUGGUUGACCCCUAUGCCACACAAUUCUUGACUCAAAUAUAUGCAAAUGAAAUCUUAAAAGUGUACCCAUGUUUUUUGUCAGGGAGGCCAAGACCGAAAGGUAGUUAGUUUGGAUUGCUGUAACAGAAAAGUUGCAUCCAGACAUUGAUAGUUUGUUGUUAGUUUAAAAAUAAAAUUGAUAGCUCAAUGGCAUUUUAAGGCAUUACAAGAUGUGACUUACACUUACCAAGCUGAUCAGGGUGCAUUGUUUGGAUGAAUCAUACUUCAGUGGGUCAGCUUGGCCUCUGAGGGGAACUGGUCGGUCAUAUUUCAGUCUAUGUGACCACUGAGCAUCCUCCCACCACAGUAGUCAUAUCUGGUCCGCAGUCCUAACUGCCACACUAAAGCCAUGGUUCAGCAGUGAUUAGUAUUUGGAGACCCAUCCGGUGUUCCUAUGCAGCCUCUCCAGUCAUCAUGAGUGAUGUUGUUGGAGUGAACAUGAGUUACCCUCUGAGUUAAUGAGCAUCCUGGAGCAGCUGAGGAGUGGGUUUUGGACACGCUUGGAGAAGGAAGGUCGCCGUCUGCUCGGGGUGGCCUGGCUGACAUUUGGCAGGGAGCUUCUGUUCCACUACGGGGAUCAGCUGACUGUUUACAGCAGACUGGUGGGCUCAGUGUUGUUGUUUUGUGGGGAGGAGAUCUACUCUCAGCUUGGUCUUAGGUUGAUUGACAAACCAGCUACAGCUGGCUGCCCCAUAUAAUGAGAAGAUCAUACAAGUCUAAGUGUUAGAUUUUGUCAUGCAGGUUGUUUUUUUAACCAUGCCAAGAGGAUGCAGUGACGCUAUUUAAUGGAGAUGCAAAGCUGAUGGAGCUUCUGGUUCCACAGAUACUAUACCUUGCUAUCAAUCAAAAUUGAAAAGAUUUUUGUGAAUAAUAACCUCCACACAGAAAAAUAAGAGCCUAUCGCAGGAUUUAUUCUCACUAAAAGUUUGUACUACAUUAUGAACCUGGAGAAAACCCAUGCAUGCUCAUUGAGAACAUGUAAACUACAUGCAGGCAACGAUACUAACCAGGGAGCCACUGAGCAGCUCAGUUAAACUUGCUAAGACAAAAUAACAAAAUAAAACAACAAACAACUAAAUUCAGAGGUAGCAACAUCCAUGUGUCUGACAACAGUAAUUAACAGAUUAGUGCAAGUGUAAAUAAUUGGCAAAACGAAUGAGUGCCUUACAACACAUACAAUCUCAGAGCCACUCAUAACCAUUUCUCAAUGGCUAUGGAAAACACGACAAGUAGCUGUUAAGUUGCAGUCACAGAAGCUCAAUCACAGCCAUCUUGACUGUGAGUUUGGCUGCAGAUUUAUACCUCAGGUUUGGUGUUUGGUGCAGUUCAAUUGGUGGAGGGAGCUGGGUAGUGGACCAAUCAGGCAAGACAGUAGGUGCACUGGAGUGUAGGGCUGGUAGCCUAGCCGCGCUAGACCCAGCUGUGACGACGUCUAGUUACCCUCGGUAAGCCUCAAGGCUGGAUGCUCCUAAAACUGGUCAACGAAUCACCAUGAAGUGUAGAGUCAGAAGGCGGGGGUAACUAAGUGACGACAGAGGCGCGACGAUUCUGUCUGUAAUAUACUUGAGCUUCACCCAUUGACUGUAUAAAUAAGGCUUCUCCGAACUCCCGCAUCCUCUGAUUUCCGGCGCUCUAGGAACUACGUCAGCCUAUUCGUUGCGCUGAUUGGUUGUAUACCUACCCAAUUGCUGCAGAGUGAUUUGAAAGACAACCUUUUAGCCCGCCUCCCUCCCUGCCAAGGGUAACUAGACCCUUGCGUCAUAAGAGCUGGGUCUAGCGUGGCUAGGCUAUAGGGCUGGAGCUCCAGGCCAGUUAUCCAGGAUGACAGACAGGUGGGGUCUGGAGCAUAUGCUUGAGUCAGCUGUAGUCAAAAGUCUACACAAACCAUUUCCCCACAUAGAGGCUGCAAGAGUCAAUCACAAUAGCUACUGAGGCCUGUUACAAGGACAAUGUAAGGAUAAUGUAAGGAUGUAAACAAUAGAAUAGGAUGUGUUCAUCUGACUGAUCACGCCUUAUUCUACUCAGAUACGAUCCUCUUUGAGAACUCCUACAUGCACCUGCUUUAGCUUUCCUGUUUACCUGAUUCUUGCCACACAAACUGAACUAUUGGUAUAGAAUGCAGCCUAAAUUCGGGCAUCUUUUACAAAUAGCAUUUCCCAUUGAAAAGAUGCAGAUAAUCUGGGAGUGCAGCAAUCACUUCCUGUUGCAUUAGUUCAUUGCACAUUUUCUUCUAAGAGAUAAGGAUCUCCUAUUUGAGAUUUUUCUUCAUAUUUAGGAUUUUCAAGAUCAUAUUUCUGUUUUCCAAUUACUGUUCUCACAUUGUCUUUUGCUGUAUUAUAACUGUGUUCUGUAUCGGCAGUACAUACAGUAUCUAUAGGCUGUACCUGGCAAUGUCACAUUGGUCAAUGUAUAUCUGAAUGUCCUUGAGUUUACUUACAAGCAUUUUUUUCUGAAUAUGACUUACAUGUGAAUACAAGCAUGAAGAUUUUGGCUUUGCUUUACUUGCAUUUUAUGUAUUUUUUUUCUUGUUGUCUAAAGUUGCGGUUUGCUAAGCACUCACAGCUGGGGGUUUGAUUUACACUAAGAACUGCUCAAACAAAGGUUUACUUAGAUUAUGAAUUCAACUGAAUCUGACAUUUGGCAUCACCUUUUGAUACAUAACAGUUUUGUUUUUUGUUUUAAAAUCCUCUGUGUAUAGCCACUGAAGAGAGUUUUUACAUGUUUUUAUCGGUGUCCAGUAUAAAUCAGCAACACCAGGAUGACAGAAUCAUUUUGUAGUUUGAACUGAUCUGCCAGAUGAGCUGCAGCUGUGGAGUUCAGACUGAUGGAGCUGCAGGUGGAGGUCACCUUGACGUCAUGCCUUUCCAUGUGCUGUUGGAGGGGACAGGGACAGGCCCGCAGAUACCAGGACACCUGACCAGGAUUUCCAUCUCACUCAUCACCACCAGCACUGAGUUAACCAACAAAGUAGUUAAGGGAAAAGUGGUUCAAAAAGGGCCGCUGGUGUCGUUUGCACCUGACAACUUCAUCCUGAAGGCUGUCAUCCAAGAAGAAGAUUCUGUGUUGAAUGCCUCAUCUCAGAAUCUGCCUAUUAACGUCGUCCUUUUUGGAGAACUGGCCAAGAACUUCAGCCAAGGUGUCAAUCAAGAGGAUUUGGUGGUGGCCGCUGGCUUCACUGUGAGCAAAUCUCCCACAGUUCGUAAGGACAACCUGCACCCGUUUAACCUGCUGCUGUCUGGAGGUGGCGCCUGCAUUUAUGUGUUCCGUCCACAGCCUCCUCCUGACGGCAAACCUUCGCUGGCCAACAAGAGGAGCUCCACUCUCUCUACUGAGGUUUGUAGGAAAACUAAAAUUCCAAAAUACACAUAUGUCCGACUGGGUGACCUGUCAGCUGGAUCUGUUGUUAACGUGUAUGGCGUGGUGGUAUUCUUCAAACAGCCAUUUAAGAGCCGUGGCACAGACUCCUGCUCCAUCCUGAAGAUCACUGAUCAGUCCAACCAGAACAUCACCUGUAGCAUCUUCUGUGAGAAGCUGGAGGACCAUCCCAAAAUCUUUCAAAUUGGAGACAUUGUCCGCAUGCACAGAGUCAAGGCUCAGUUCUUCAAAGACUCCAUUUCGCUUGUCAACACCUCUGGUUUCUCUGUGGUGACAUUUGAUGGAACAGUAGGCAGAGCUGUGGAACCGCGAACAUCUAGCCGCUCUUUUCACUUCAACCAGGAGGACCGGCGGACAGUGGAGGAGCUGCGAUCCUGGGCCUCAAGCCAGGCUCUCCUCCCCACCGUUUCUGCUGCAAUCCGCCUGUCUGCUGUGCAGCCCAAAUCUUACUUUGACCUGACCUGUCAGCUGCUGGCCAAAGCCCCCAUAGACUCCACCUGCAUCCUGCUAAGGGUGUGGGAUGGGACCAGAUGUCCUCAUGCUCUGCUGAAAGUAAUUGUUGAGCCAAAUGUAACAGAAGGGCCAUCUUCCUUCUCCAUGGAGAAAGAGAACAUGAUCGCCAAUGUCUUUGUCUAUGACAACCAUCUGGAUUGUGCAAGCAAACUGAAGCUUGGGUCCUUCUUGAGGAUCUACAACCUUCGAGCAAAUCCAGGACACAGCACUGUCCCGGGCCUCACUAGCAGCCAAUCAGUGGAGGUGGAUCAUCUGGCUUUUCACCUGCACGGAGGAACGUCAUAUGGCAGAGGGAUACGGGUUCUCCCAGAAGACAGUCUCGAUGUACAAGAGCUAAAGAGAGUCUUGGAGGCCUUCCCACAUGAUGACAUGAAUGAACCCUUUGACCUGAAUGACUCAGCGCUAUUGGAGGUCUGGAGCACUCCACCAGAGUCGCUGGAUGGUGAAGCAGUAAAGUCCAGCACAGAGAGGGGCGGCACUCCUGACAUGCCACUAAAGACACUGUCUGAGCUGAAGCAGUGUGAAUUGGGUGGAGUUCACUAUGUCAGAGCCCAGCUGAGGUCGUAUGAACCACGCAGACUCCACCAGGCUCUGAAACUCUACUGCAGCAAGUGCACAUCAAUGCAGGAAAUCCCAGAUGAUGAGCUGGUGGCAGGAAUCUUCUCUGAGGCAUCCAGUGACUAUGAACCUUGUAAUGCCCCACCAUGGGCGUUACUGUCCGCCUUCCUCACAGAUGCCCCAGGGUCCCCAGAUCGAGUUCUGACACUUCUUCAGCCCAAACAGCUCAUGUCUGAAGUCAAAACCAAGGAGUUCAUCUUCCUCAUGGGUACAACUCUUCAGGAAAUGUGUCGACUAGCAGCCAGCUCCCAGAACAUCAUCCCAGUGAGGUCAUCAGGACGUCAGAUUACUCUGCUUGACCUGUCAGCACCUUUUCUGUUCAGAGGCAGAAAGAGACACUACGGGUGUAAGCGGUGCUCUGAGACUGUAUUGAGGGAGCCGAGUGCUGAGGGAGUCGAGGUGAUCGAUGAGAAGAUCGUUGCAGGAGUUGUCGGCCUUGGAUGAUGAGGUCCAGUUACCAGGAGCACCAGUCUGCAGCUUACUGGUUCCGUCCUGCAGCUCCUCCACGCUGUCCUCCUCUCUACAGACCAAAUCAAGAAAAGGGAACCAGGAAGCUGCUGUGGAUCCUCUGCAGUAUCUGGAGAGGUCAGAGGAACGGUUCUUGGAACAGAUCGGAAGACACCAAGACGUGACCUCUGCCAUUCUCCAGAACAUCCAGAAAAUGAAUGAAAACCUUGGUUGCACUGAUGGGACGCAUGGUGUCGGUGCUGGAGCAACUGUCCCAGAAUUAAACUGCAUUGUUGACUAUUGGCUUUUCUAGAAAAUAAAUCUUUUUUAGUACUUCACCUGUUUUGUAUUUUACCCAUGCACUUUGGGUGAAUAAACAGAAAUUUGGAAUGAGA